rnacentral:rRNA from 1 species
AUGAACGCUGGCGGCGUGCCUAAUACAUGCAAGUAGCACGCUGAAGGCAGGAGCUUGCUCUUUCCGGAUGAGUUGCGAACGGGUGAGUAACGCGUAGGUAACCUGCCUGGUAGCGGGGGAUAACUAUUGGAAACGAUAGCUAAUACCGCAUAACAGUAGAUGUUGCAUGACAACUAUUUGAAAGGGGCAAUUGCUCCACUACCAGAUGGACCUGCGUUGUAUUAGCUAGUUGGUGAGGUAACGGCUCACCAAGGCGACGAUACAUAGCCGACCUGAGAGGGUGAUCGGCCACACUGGGACUGAGACACGGCCCAGACUCCUACGGGAGGCAGCAGUAGGGAAUCUUCGGCAAUGGACGGAAGUCUGACCGAGCAACGCCGCGUGAGUGAAGAAGGUUUUCGGAUCGUAAAGCUCUGUUGUAAGAGAAGAACGAGUGUGAGAGUGGAAAGUUCACACUGUGACGGUAUCUUACCAGAAAGGGACGGCUAACUACGUG